AAAAAAAAAAAAAAAAAAAAAAAAUAAACUUCAAAUACCACUUUAGUGGUUUCGUACUUUUUCACUUUAAUAUUUUAUACUUUAAAGAUAAUAAAUUUAUUACCGCAUGAUUUUAUUUUUCUCUUUUAAUCAGUCCAUCUGUUAAUUUUCAUUAAAUCAUAUACGAAAAAUUUUAAAUAUCCCAUCUAUAGUUUAUCGAAUAUUUACUUUACCCUUCGGUUUUAACUUUAUUAUUGAUUUAACGAAAAAAAUUAGUAAAUCAGAUAACAAAAAGAGGAAAAAUAAAAUCACAUGGUAUAAAAGUGAUAGACUUUAAAUCAUAGAAUAUUAAAAUAAAAAAAUACGAAAUCACAUAGGUGACAUUUAAAGUUUUUUUUAUUUAAAAAAAAAAAAGUCUCCAA
rnacentral:lncRNA from 1 species